AACGUAGGAGGCGAGCGUUAUCCGGAUUUACUGGGCGUAAAGCGCGUGCAGGCGGAUCAGAAAGUUGGAUGUGAAAGCUCCCGGCUCAACUGGGAGAGGUCGUUCAAAACUACUGGUCUUGAGGGCGAUAGAGGGAAGUGGAAUUCCGGGUGUAGUGGUGAAAUGCGUAGAUAUCCGGAGGAACACCAGUGGCGAAAGCGGCUUCCUGGAUCGUCUCUGACGCUCAGACGCGAAAGCUAGGGUAGCAAAC
rnacentral:rRNA from 1 species